ACUCAGCAAGCAAUAAUUAUGGGUCUGACCCAAAUAGGUUUGACCAAGCAAAGCCAUAAUAUUAUAAUACUAAUAAGCAACACUACAAAACAAACAAGCAGAAGCAAUACUAAUAACAGCUGUGCCUCUGGUCAUGUUCACGGAAGAGAUAUUGUCAGAAGAAUGGCUUCCUGAAAUGGCAUCGAGAUCAGCCAUGCUAUGGACACGGACUUUAGAGCCAUCGGGUGCAAUUACAAGCACCGAGCCAUUAUUUGUCCAGCACUUUGUGAUCCCAAAACGUUGUCUAGCCAUCAUGAACACGUCAUGCCUCUUUUUUAUAAGAAACUCCGUCAUGGUGAUGCCAGAGUUUUUCAAAUUGGUUUUAGCCGCCCACACUUUAUUCCGGAUAGCACUAUCAUGAAAUUUAAUUAAGAUUGGUCGCGGCUUGGACUCAUUAACUUUACCCAGGCGAUGGCAGUAUUUCACAGCCGUUAUAUCAACCUCUGGGAGUCGAAGCUGUGUUGAAAAUAUAGUUUGGACAACUUCAGGCUCAGUCUUUUUUGCCUCGGAGACUCCAUGAAGUAAAAGUAUUUUCUUCCUUCGCUUCAUCUCAUUUUGGUCUUGCACUUCUACUAAGACUUCUAUCUGAGACUGCAAUGAUUUAAGGGCCUCCAGGACAAAGGUCUUGAAUGUACUGAAUUCCGAUGCCAGUGCUGAAGUGGUGCUCGAAGGUUGACAAGAGUUAAGUUCUUGCUGGAACUCUGUCAUUUUGUUAUUGAACAGUUCGCUCAUUUGAUUAAUAGACUGUUUUAGGGAAUCCAUAUUCAUAUUUUAAAGAAAGUAAAAAGUGUAUUCUUACAAAGUGAUGGUGGUGAAUAAAUCUUGAA